UACGUAGGGAGCAAGCGUUGUCCGGAAUCAUUGGGCGUAAAGCGCGCGUAGGUGGUCCCGUAAGUCCGCUGUGAAAGUCAAAGGCUCAACCUUUGAAAGCCGGUGGAUACUGUGGGACUAGAGUACGGAAGAGGCGAGUGGAAUUCCUGGUGUAGCGGUGGAAUGCGCAGAUAUCAGGAGGAACACCAGCGGCGAAGGCGGCAUCCUGGCCCUUACCUGACGCUGAGGCGCGAGAGCGUGGGGGAGCAAACCGG
rnacentral:rRNA from 1 species